UACGUAGGCAGCGAGCGUUGUUCGGAGUUACUGGGCGUAAAGAGUGCGUAGGCGGUUUUCUAAGUUUGGUGUGAAAUCUCCCGGCUCAACUGGGAGGGGUCGUGUGAUACUGCUUGGCUUGAGCAAGGUAGGGGGCAGUGGAAUUCCCGGUGUAGUGGUGAAAUGCGUAGAUAUCAGAGGAACACCAGUGGCGAAAGGCGGCUCACUUGGG
rnacentral:rRNA from 1 species